GUUGAGGGAGCUGACGGAGCCGGCGGUGGAGCCGCUGCCCUCGUAGUCGAACACCAGCAGGGAGUCGUAUGGAGGAGCUGUGGGGUCGUUGUCUGCUGCUCGCAGACCCUAAACAGGACAAGGAGGAGGAGAGGUAGAGGUCCAAAUUGAAGCAGCAGAGGAGCAGCUGGAUCCUACAUUUCCCAUGUUGCAAUGGAAGACAUCUUUUCCUCACAGCCUCCCUUCUGAGUGUCGGAACAUUUUGAGAGAAGAAAAAGUUUCCCCAUUUGGAAACCUGUGUAUGUGUCUUUACUUCAUGUAUAACAACUUUUCUACAAGCUGUUAACAACAUGCCCU